rnacentral:tRNA from 1 species
GGAGGGAUCGCAUAGUCCGGUCUAGUGCGCGGCAUUGGAAAUGCCGUAGGCGGUGUGAGCUGCCUCGAGGGUUCAAAUCCCUCUCCCUCCGCCA